GGAAACCUUCCUGGAUGUGAAGUGACCACUCAGCCAGGAACCUUUGGCCCUUGUUCCAUCUCUGCGGUUCAUGCUCUGGGCUAGGGAAGCUGAGGUCAAUGAUUUCACCAACACGGUCACAGACUAAGAGGAAGCUUCAGGAAAACCCCAAGAAAGCUCAAAAGAGAGAACUCAUCCUCCUGACCAUCUGCACUACUUGAGGUUAAGAAUUUGUGUGCCCCUUUGAGACAUC
rnacentral:lncRNA from 1 species